UUUGGACUCUUUCUGAUUCACACUUUGCCUUUUCUCAAAACCCCACCAUUGAAUUUUUUUUUUCUUUCCAUUUUUUUGGUUGGAGAUGAUGAACAAUAUGGAAGAUGAGUACAUUAGGAGACACCAUAGGCAUGUGCUCGACCACAAUCAGUGUAGUUCUUCACUUGUUAAACGCAUCAGAGCUCCUGUUAAUCUUGUAUGGUCAUUGGUGAGAAGGUUUGAUCAACCACAAAGGUACAAGCCAUUUGUUAGCAGAUGUGUCGUGCAAGGGGACCUUGAAAUUGGGAGUGUGAGAGAAGUGAAUGUUAGGUCAGGUCUUCCAGCUACCACCAGCAAGGAGAGGUUAGAGCUUCUAGAUGAUGACGAGCACAUUUUUGGUGUAAAGAUCGUAGGUGGAGAUCACAGGCUUAGGAACUACUCAUCAAUUAUCACUGUUCACCCGAAGGUCAUUGACGGAAGGCCUGGAACAAUGGUAGUCGAGUCAUUCGUGGUGGAUGUACCAGAUGGGAAUACUAAGGAUGAAACUUGUUACUUUGUCGAGGCCCUCAUCCGGUGUAACCUCAAAUCACUAGCUGAUGUAUCCGAGCGCUUAGCUGUGCAGGGCCAUAUGGAGCCUAUCGACAGAAUGUAGGUUAACAGCUUCAUCAUUUUGCCAAGCGUGCAA
rnacentral:misc_RNA from 1 species